rnacentral:rRNA from 1 species
UACGUAGGGGGCAAGCGUUGUCCGGAUUUACUGGGCGUAAAGCGCGCGUAGGUGGAAGGUCAAGUCCGGCUUGAAAGCCCCCGGCUCAACCGGGGAGAGUGGCUGGAAACUGGCUUUCUUGAGGGCGAGAGAGGAGGGUGGAAUUCCUGGUGUAGCGGUGGAAAUGCGUAGAGAUCAGGAGGAACACCCGAGGCGAAGGCGGCCCUCUGGCUCGACCCUGACGCUGAGGCGCGAAAGCGUGGGGAGCGAACGGG